ACACUGGUUGUUCUGUGGUAGAAUUUUCCCCUUCCACGCAAGACGCCUGGGUUUGAUUCCCAGCCAAUGCA
rnacentral:tRNA from 1 species